rnacentral:rRNA from 1 species
UUUUAUUUGAGAGUUUGAUCCUGGCUCAGGAUGAACGCUGGCGGCGUGCCUAACACAUGCAAGUUGAGCGAUUUACUUCGGUAAAGAGCGGCGGACGGGUGAGUAACGCGUGGGUAACCUACCCUGUACACACGGAUAACAUAUCGAAAGGUAUGCUAAUACGGGAUAAUAUAUUUGAGAGGCAUCUCUUGAGUAUCAAAGGUGAGCCAGUACAGGAUGGACCCGCGUCUGAUUAGCUAGUUGGUAAGGUAACGGCUUACCAAGGCGACGAUCAGUAGCCGACCUGAGAGGGUGAUCGGCCACAUUGGAACUGAGACACGGUCCAAACUCCUACGGGAGGCAGCAGUGGGGAAUAUUGCACAAUGGGCGAAAGCCUGAUGCAGCAACGCCGCGUGAGUGAUGAAGGCCUUCGGGUCGUAAAACUCUGUCCUCAAGGAAGAUAAUGACGGUACUUGAGGAGGAAGCCCCGGCUAACUACGUGCCAGCAGCCGCGGUAAUACGUAGGGGGCUAGCGUUAUCCGGAUU